rnacentral:rRNA from 1 species
UACUCGAGUGGCGAACGGGUGAGUAACACGCGGGUGAUCUGCCCUGCACUUCGGGAUAAGCCUGGGAAACUGGGUCUAAUACCGGAUAGGAGCCAUUUUUAGUGUGAUGGUUGGAAAGUUUUUUCGGUGUAGGAUGAGCUCGCGGCCUAUCAGCUUGUUGGUGGGGUAAUGGCCUACCAAGGCGGCGACGGGCAGCCGGCCUGAGAGGGUGGACGGCCACAUUGGGACUGAGAUACGGCCCAG